AUGAUUGUUUUAACUGACAAUAUUUCCAUGAUUCAUCUAUUAUCUCUAAUUCUACUCCUUUCUGCUUACUGCAUUUUUAAUGCCAUUAUCUCUUACUAGUGAUUAAUAUUAUUUACAUAAUCAAAUGUAUACAUAACUACUUGCUGCUCUGUGUAUGAGGGUUUGAUAAUAUGCAAAUUUCUUUAGGCUCUAUGUUUGGUAUUGAACAACCUAUCAGGGAGCAUAGCCCAAAAGAAGGUUAAAUUUAUCUCUAUUCACAUUCUUAAUUGUCUAUAUGUUUUCAGCUAAAAUGGGGCUUAUGUCUAUGACAUUUUCUCCUUCAGAAUUGGCAUGCCAUCUUGUAGUAAUGUGGGGAUAAUCUUCUUUAGUUAUGCAUGUUGUUAAAUUUUAGUGUGUAACUCUGUUAUCCUAUAUAGAAGACACUUUGUAGCAGUAGACAUCUCAUACUAUGAUUCAUUUAAAUUUUUACUGUCUUUUUGCAACCCUUCCUGUGUUAGCUUAAUGCUUAAUAUUUUAGAUUCAUAAAUUUGGAUUGGACACACCAUUGUCAGUUGUUCUUUGCAUUUUGAAUAGUUGUGCAGUCCUAUAGUUGUCUCUGUCUGGUGCAGAAUGAAGCUAAUUUCCUGACGGUGACAGCUGUACAUUUCUAUAGUUUAAAGUAUAUAUAUAGUGCUGUUACAAGAAACUGGCAGAGCUAAGUUCUCCUCCAGAUUCCAUUAUCUCUGCUGCCACAGGUUUUGGCUUAUGUUAUAUUAUUGAACAUGGUUCUCUUCUUGAUGAUGAAAUAAGUCUCAAUAAAUCAUCCGAGACAUCAUAAACACUUCAUCUGUGGUUCUAUAAUGCCAACCCAUCAUGGUAUAGGGAAGGGGAGACCUGGUGGAAAUGGAGACAAGAAGGGGAAUAGAGAAAAAUGAUCAGGUUUUAGGGGAGCAUGCAUGAAGCCCCGUUGGCCCUCAGAAAGAAUAGAAGUAGGCACCCUUGGUAGGUAGGAGGAGGGGGACUCUCUUGAAUGUACCAGAGACCUGAGAUGUGAGAGACUCUCAUAUUUCAAAGGGACAGUUAGACGAAAUUCCAUAUAGGGGACAGAGGGAACUUGUAGAGUUCACCUCCAGUAGAAUUACUGGACAUCAAAUGGAGGGAUAAGUUUUUCAUCCCAUAGUAAAAAACUCUGAUCCAGAAUUGUUCCUUUUUAAAAAGCACUUCAAGGACAAAAAUGGAGAAUGAGAAGGGAAAGGAGAUCCAGUGACAGGCCCAUAUUUGAAUAGAGCUCAAGGGGAGACCCCAAAGCCUCCCUAUUACUGAUGCUAUUGUUUGCUUACAAACAGGAAACUAACAUGACUAUCCUCCAGAAGCCCCCAAAAGCAGCUGAAAGUGUCAGAUGAUGAUAUUUCCAGCCAAGCAAUGGACAGAAGAUAGUGACCCCAGUGGUUGAAUUUUCAAAAGCUGGAAAAAGCUUAUGAAGAAGGCAACCCUAUAGGAAGACCAGCAGUCUCAACUAUCCUGGACACAUGAGAUCUCUCAGACACUGUGCCACCAACCAGGCUGUAUAUACCAGCUGAUAUGAGGUUCCCAAGACAUAUACAGCAAGAAUUCCUGGUCUGCACUAAAAAACAUGUUCCUCCAGCUGAAGUCACUGCUCCUGCUUUAAGAUACAUUGUCCCUGUCACAGUUUUGGAUCAUUCAUCAUUUUCAAAGAAAAGGAUAUACUUCAGGAACCAGUAUCUGACAAAACGAGGAGUCUUGCUGUCCUGUUCACUGAGUUCUCCAACUCAUCCCUGAAACCACGCCUCCUCUCAGCUUCAUGAGAAACUCACAGUACAGAGGCAGAGCACCACAUUCAGCUGAUGAGUAACAUUAAUCCCGCAACAUGGCUGCUCUGGCAAGGGAUCAUAUCCAGAGACUUUUUAGGACUAUAUGAUCCAGCUGGACUGCAGAAAACCUUUAAUAUACACCUUUAAUCCCUAACAAUGAAGGAAUGAAAAUAAAGAACAAAUAAAUGAACUUGGAAAGCUGUCUGCUGAUACUGAAAUUCAG
rnacentral:lncRNA from 1 species